rnacentral:rRNA from 1 species
UCUUCCCUCUGGCGGCGUGCCUAAUACAUGCAAGUCGAGCGAACGGACGAGAAGCUUGCUUCUCUGAUGUUAGCGGCGGACGGGUGAGUAACACGUGGAUAACCUACUUAUAAGACUGGGAUAACUUCGGGAAACCGUAGCUAAUACCGGAUAAUAUUUUGAACCGCAUGGUUCAAAAGUGAAAGACGGUCCUGCUGUCACUUAUAGAUGGAUCCGCGCUGCAUUAGCUAGUUGGUAAGGUAACGGCUUACCAAGGCAACGAUGCAUAGCCGACCUGAGAGGGUGAUCGGCCACACUGGAACUGAGACACGGUCCAGACUCCUACGGGAGGCAGCAGUAGGGAAUCUUCCGCAAUGGGCGAAAGCCUGACGGAGCAACGCCGCGUGAGUGAUGAAGGUCUUCGGAUCGUAAAACUCUGUUAUUAGGGAAGAACAUAUGUGUAAGUAACUGUGCACAUCUUGACGGUACCUAAUCAGAAAGCCACGGCUAACUACGUG